GUCCUUUUGACGGGUAUGCUUGUGAGUUUGCUUAUUCUCUCUAUGUCCUUUCAGAACGUUUCCUAAAGUAAAUUCAUUCAUUUCUGUUGUUGUGCAUUAUGAUGAGACUGUCGUGUUAUCAAUUUGGCCGAGCGCUUGGCCUCUGGCCAUGGUACUGAUAUUGUCACUCCCACCGCGGAGACGCACAAAACAGCUAAUCAAUGUGCUGGCACAUCAUCUGGAUGACACAGUGCACCGCUUAUUGCAGUGUGUUGCAUAGUGCAAAAUUGAGGAUGUCGUCUGGGGAUUUCAACAUUCCCCUUCUGUUUGUGUCUACACACCAUCACAGAAGUUUUGUGUUGUCUCUUUCUUCCCGCCUCCUCUUCGACCCUAGCCCAGGUCAAGCAGCCUGUAGACCAUAGAAUUUGAUCAAGGUGAUCUGGCCACCGAAGGAAACCACCAUCCUACCCAACAUUUGAUUACUGAACUUUACUCAAAACUUUCUCUUUAUCUGUUGCUAUUUGUGGAAAGUUUCAUCAUAAUAACAGUACAAAAAACAUUAUAGUCUCUGAACCAGCUUGGAAUAUUGUUUUGAUUGGUUGAUUUUUAUCCUGUCUUUCCUGUAGCCUGUUGGGUUAAAGGCUAAUUAUCUGUGCAACUUUAAACUAGCUUAAUAGCGUAAAGGAAAAAAAAUGUAAUGCCAAUACGAAUUGAAUUUACAAUGAGAGUAAUUUUGUGCAAAUCAAUGAAUAUCAGUAUUUCAUUGUUUGUGUUGAUUUAUUUGACCCCUCCACCCCCACUCUUACCCUGUUUGAAGGAUAACUUUUUUUGUUGCGCACACAUCCACUCCAACUUAAUGUGAUACAGAAAUACAACUGCAUUGACAGACACUAGUUUGACAAUGAGACAAGAUGCUGAGGACACAUAUAAAUAUUUACAAACAAAUAAACUACAUAUCAACCCAUCUGAGAAGAUUUACAUCCAAUUUACAAAAAUCAUCAAAUGACAAAUAGGAGGAGUGAAUGUUUUGGGGUAAUGUAUAUCAAUAUUGUCAAGUCUACUCCUGCUGCUCCCCUCCAGCUUUCGAUGUCGCCGGUAUACUAACCACCGGCAUCAAUCAUUAUGCACACCUGCACGUCAUCAGCAGGCACACCUGGACUCCAUUACCUCACUUAUUACUGGCAGCUUCAUUAAAUAGUACCCGCAA